CCUACGGGAGGCAGCAGGUAAGAAUAUUCCGCAAUGGGGGGAACCCUGACGGAGCGACGCCGCGUGAACGAAGAAGGCCGGAAGGUUGUAAAGUUCUUUUCUGUCCGAGGAAUAAGUGUAGGAGGAAAUGCCUGCAUGGUGACGGUAGGGCAGGAAUAAGCACCGGCUAAUUACGUGCCAGCAGCCGCGGUAACACGUAAGGUGCGAGCGUUGUUCGGAAUUAUUGGGCGUAAAGGGCAUGCAGGCGGGUCGCCAAGCUUGGUAAGAAAUACCGGGGCUCAACUCCGGAGCUAUAUUGAGAACUGGCGAGCUAGAGUUGCCGAAGGGUAUCCGGAAUUCCGCGUGAAGGGGUGAAAUCUGUAGAUAUGCGGAAGAACACCGAUGGCGAAGGCAGGAUACCGGCGGACGACUGACGCUGAGGUGCGAAGGUGCGGGGAGC
rnacentral:rRNA from 1 species